AGGAAUAUUGGUCAAUGGACGCAAGUCUGAACCAGUCAUGCCGCGUGGAGGAUGAAGGUCCUCUGGAUUGUAAACUUCUUUUAUCUGGGACGAAACACUUCUUUUCUAAGAGGCCUGACGGUACCAGAUGAAUAAGCACCGGCUAACUCCGUGCCAGCAGCCGCGGUAAUACGGAGGGUGCAAGCGUUAUCCGGAUUCACUGGGUUUAAAGGGUGCGUAGGUGGGUAUGUAAGUCAGUGGUGAAAUCCCCGAGCCUAACUUGGGAACUGCCAUUGAUACUAUAUAUCUUGAAUACCGUAGAGGUAAGCGGAAUAUGUCAUGUAGCGGUGAAAUGCUUAGAUAUGACAUGGAACACCAAUUGCGAAGGCAGCUUACUAUGCGGUGAUUGACACUGAGGCACGAAAGCGUGGGUAGCAAACA
rnacentral:rRNA from 1 species